GGAGAGAUGUCCGAGUGGUCGAAGGAGCCUGACUCGAAAUCAGGUGUGCGGUUUACCGCACCGGGGGUUCGAAUCCCUUUCUCUCCG
rnacentral:tRNA from 1 species